rnacentral:rRNA from 1 species
AGUGAACGCUGGCGGUAGGCCUAACACAUGCAAGUCGAACGGCAGCACAGUAAGAGCUUGCUCUUACGGGUGGCGAGUGGCGGACGGGUGAGGAAUACAUCGGAAUCUACUUUUUCGUGGGGGAUAACGUAGGGAAACUUACGCUACUACCGCAUACGACCUACGGGUGAAAGCAGGGGAUCUUCGGACCUUGCGCGAUUGAAUGAGCCGAUGUCGGAUUAGCUAGUUGGCGGGGUAAAGGCCCACCAAGGCGACGAUCCGUAGCUGGUCUGAGGGGAUGAUCAGCCACACUGGAACUGAGACACGGUCCAGACUCCUACGGGAGGCAGCAGUGGGGAAUAUUGGACAAAGGGCGCAAGCCUGAUCCAGCCAUACCGCGUGGGUGAAGAAGGCCUUCGGGUUGUAAAGCCCUUUUGUUGGGAAAGAAAAGCAGCAGGUUAAUACCCCGCUGUUCUGACGGUACCCAAAGAAUAAGCACCGGCUAACUUCGUG